rnacentral:misc_RNA from 1 species
GUGAAUCAUCAAAUCUUUGAACGCAAAUUGCGCCUUCUGUCGGGAGGCAUGUCUGUUUGAGGGCACCUUUUAACAAAUAAUGUGCGGGUUGCUAUACGGCGUGCACACGUUGAUGAGCUUUUCUGAUAAACUAGGUUUGUUUGGUGGCGCAUAAUGAACAGCGUGGCGUUUUUCUUUUGAUUCUCGUGUAGUAAGUAAAUUUUCGACGCUUGGAUUGAGUACAUGUGCGUUC